GCAGUUUUUGUGUACAUAAAUUUUAAAAGAACCACGUGUUCGAUUGUUAGUUUCGUUUUUGCUAAAGAUAUCCUGCGGAUAUAAACAUAUACGCAUCUGUAUAUGCAUGUAAUAUUAUACACUUUUUAACAUUUAUAACUUUUUAGUAGUUUUUUUUUUUUAAUUUACAUUAUUUUAUCUCUCUAUUUAUCUAUACAUCUGCCCAUCUAUCUACUUAUCUAUUUAUCUUCAUCCCUUUCUAUCUAUCCCUUUUCUGUUUACCUCAUUGACAAUAUUUUUUUUUCAAUUAUGAAUUUGUUUUGCACCGUUUGUUUUAUAUUUCACUUGUUUUUUUUUUUCCAAAAAAAUGUAGCAAAAAAAGUAGAAAGUUCUGGAGUAUUUCAGAAGAGCUUAAACUUUUUUACCGCUUCUGAUUUUCAAAAUAAAAUUAUUAAAAACGAAAAUGUUUGUAUACAAAAUUAUAAAAAAAAAAAUGGCAUAAAAAGUACACAUCAUCCAUAUUGUUCUAUUAUUGACAACGUCAAAAAAAACAUAACUUAUUUUUUUAAACGAAAGAACAGCAUAAUUGAAAAUAUAAAAAACUUAUAUAGUAAAGAAAGUUUAUGGUUUGUAACAGGGCAUUGUCAAAAUUUUUUUUAUAAAAAUUCCUUUUUCAAUGUUGUUGGAUUAGAAGUAGUAAAAGAAGUAGACCCUAAAAAGUUCAUACUCACAAGGCAAAAAAAAAAGAAUUCUGAUAACACAUUAGAAAAAAAUAUCAACUAUGAAUUACGUAAUAUGUAUAAAGUAAAAAGGUAUAUUAUUUUUUACAAAAACAAUGAAUCUAGCUCGGACAAGAAAGGUGAAACUAGCUCUAAUGAUAAGGAUCAAACAAUCUCUGAUAAAAAAAGCCAAACAAACUCUGAUGAGGAGGGCCAAACUAACUAUGAUAAGAAAGACAGUACUAACAUCGUUAUGAACAACAAAAACAAAGAUGGAAUGCAAAACAAUUUUAUUAUGUGCCAACACGUUUACUUCAUUUUACACAUACAUGACAAAAAAAAUAAUAAAUUUUACAUUUUGUCUAAUAGUACAAAUGAAAAUGAUACUCUUGGUCUAUACGAAAUAAGUGAAUUAAAAAAAGAUAAGUUACCAGAGAUGUUAGAUGAUAAUAUGACAAAUAAAAAGAAAUUAAACGAGUUAACUAUGAUGUCUUUAAUAAAUAAAAAUGAAAAAUUGAAUGACAUAGCUAAUAAUAAUACAUAUAUAAAUAAUUUUAUAAAUGCUCCUAGUCAUAGUAAUAUUUUUAAUAAUAACACAUUAUUCAGUGACUAUGUUAAAAAGGUAUUUAAUUUUUAUAAUAAUUCAGGUAUAUUAUUUGAUCAUAGUAUAUCGAACGAUAAACAAUCCAACCCAUUUAUUUUUUUAAUUUAUGGAGAUCACAACUUUUUGUUUAAAGAUAAAAGUUACUCUCAGCAUCUUAUUAACUUUUUUAUAAAAAGCGAAGAAGAAGAAAAAGGAGUGCAGAAUUUUUGUGAAAAUAUUUUUAAAAAUAACAAGGGGUAUAAAUUAUGUAUAAAAAAUGAUUUACAAGAUAAACCUUCUUACUUAAUAAAAUACACCAAGC
rnacentral:lncRNA from 1 species